UUUCUGAGAUUCAGAAUAUUUUUUUUCUUGUUUUCCUCCUCCAAAAACUAGGUGCGUCUUGUGGUCUGGUGCGUCUUAUAGAGCGAAAAAUAGGUGCUGUGGUGGCAUCUGAGGCAGAAGGAACCCUUUUCAGAUAGCUCUGAAAAGUGCCACAUCUCUCACUAUAUCACAGCCUUCUCUGCUAAAUAUAAAAAGCAUGGUGGGUUCUGUGCAGUUGCCCAAGAGGUUUCAUUCUCAAAGGAAAACUGUUCUGUGCAGCAAAGGAGCACAGAAUAAGUGUCUAACAUCUCGUUGCCUAGCCCUGCCAGUCCUUUGUCAUCUCCAAUAUAAUUCACUUAUGCACCUCUGGGAAUGAGACUGAUUCUUUCUCCUGAUUGGUAUGAACUUAUAUUUGGUGUUAAUGGACUGGAAACCAUUAAACAAAAGGUGGUCAACAAAACAAAUGCUCUAUUUUGCUUAUUCCGGCCUCCUCCCAGCUGCAAAGUUUCAUGUGUGUAAAAAAACAUCAAUAGACGGAUAUCUUAAAUACCAAACUGAGAAUUGCCAAACUUCAAAAUAGUCUCAAUUUUUCAUUCUUUAAAGAAGCUUCCAGACGCACUUCUUGUCACAUUAUAGGUUUAGGAUCUUUAUCAGUAUUUCUAUAAAACAUUCUUGUAGUAUUUUGCAGUUCAACUUUAAGGUACACAGGUACGACAGAUUAUUUUGGAUUCUAUGUAAUCAAGGCAUUUAUUUUGAUAAAACAGAAUUGAUUUGUGCACCACCAAUUUAUAUAUGCACACAGGCAAUAUAGGAUAAUCUGGGUAUUUUUGUAUUCCACAUUAGCCACCCAAUGCACUGUUCAUGCUAUAGUUACUCACAAUGUGUUAUGGAUUACAGCACAUGGCUAUUUGCUGUUUGUGUUUUGGCAGUAGCCAUGCUUAAAUAAUGAAAUAGGCCAUGCUUUGCUUGCCGGUUUCCUUUCCAAUAUGGGAGCAGAUAAAGCUUACUGAAGCCAAAUUUUGAAGUUGGAACUUGCAGUAUGCUUAUUUCAUUUGGAUUACUAAUGACCCUGCCUGUCACUCUAGAUAUUUUAAUCUGUCCAAAUAGUGUUGAGUUUACAAAGAUCAUGGUUAAUUAUACAAUUACUGACCCCUUAAACCACAGUGAAAAUCACCCCAAGAAAUCUGCCAGGGCCAUUAAAAUAGUUAAAGGUGUAGCUUUCAUUGCUAAAGUGGUGUUAAUAGUAUCUUUCUAGGUGGUAAAAAGGGUUUGUAGAAUGCUGAAAGUCUGUUUUACACAUUGAUAAAACCUGAACGGGUAGAAUAGUAUAUUUUUAUUUCCAGUAGUUGUGCCUACCUAACUGUCGUGCUGACUAAUUGCAGCAUACAUUAAAAAUCAGUCCUUGGCUCUUGCUGGGGGGCGGAGGUGUUAAGAACCAGAAUCUGAAACUACUAUCAUGUUCAGAAACUAUUCACUUAGGUUGAGCAGCUUCAGGUCUGUAAUAAAACUGUAUCCUUUCUUGCUGAAUUCUAUUGGGAGUUCUGCUAUUGGCAGGCAUGGCUAGAACAUGGUACCUUGUGUAGAGUGUAUAUAUUUGAUCAAGCCCUGAAUGCCCACUUAAUCACAGACACGUUAGUGUUCCAUAACAUAAAGUUCACAAGGAAUGUCACCAUUUAAAAGGGGUAGCUGCCCGCCUUUAAAUUUCCUAGAAAUUAAUUUGUACGCGUUGCUUACAUUUUAUCAUCUUAUAAUGUGGGUUUCCUUGUGCAAUAUAGCUAACUACUGUCCAGCUGUAUAGCUCAGGCUUUGACUCAUUUUCAUUCUUUAGUUACUAGAACUGUUCUUAGCAAAUGACAGUGUAAAGCUGACACAUUAAGCUGAAUUGUGACCAUUUUCAUUUAGCAUUUUAAAAAAUAAAGAGAAAAAAUGAA